UACGUAGGGGCUAGCGUUAUCCGGAAUUACUGGGCGUAAAGGGUGCGUAGGCGGUCUUUCAAGCCAGAAGUGAAAGGCUACGGCUCAACCGUAGUAAGCUUUUGGAACUGUGAGACUUGAGUGCAGGAGAGGAGAGUGGAAUUCCUAGUGUAGCGGUGAAAUGCGUAGAUAUUAGGAGGAACACCAGUAGCGAAGGCGGCUCUCUGGACUGUAACUGACGCUGAGGCACGAAAGCGUGGGGAGCAAACAGGAUUAGAUACCCGCGUAGUCCCU
rnacentral:rRNA from 1 species